rnacentral:rRNA from 1 species
AGAGUUUGAUCAUGGCUCAGAACGUACGCUGGCGGCACGCCUAACACAUGCAAGUCGAACGCAGUAGCAAUACUGAGUGGCGAACGGGUGAGUAUAAUGUGGGUAUCUGCCUUUUGGUGAAGAAUAACACGGGGAAACUUGUGCUAAUACUUCAUAAGCCUUUACAGGGAAAGAUUUAUCGCCAAAAGAUGAGCCCACACUUGAUUAGCUAGUUGGUAAGGUAAUGGCUUACCAAGGCUACGAUCAAUAGCUGAUCUGAGAGGAUGAUCAGCCACAUUGGGACUGAGACACGGCCCAAACUCCUACGGGAGGCAGCAGUGGGGAAUCUUGCACAAUGGGGGAAACCCUGAUGCAGCGAUGCCGCGUGAGUGAAGAAGGCCUUUGGGUUGUAAAGCUCUUUCGUCGGGGAAGAAAAUGACUGUACCCGAAUAAGAAGGUCCGGCUAACUUCGUGCCAGCAGCCGCGGUAAUACGAAGGGACCUAGCGUAGUUCGGAAUUACUGGGCUUAAAGAGCUCGUAGGUGGUUAGAAAAGUUGGUGGUGAAAUCCCAAGGCUUAACCUUGGAACUGCCACCAAAACUUUUUGACUAGAGUAUGAUAGAGGAAAGUGGAAUUUCUAGUGUAGAGGUGAAAUUCGUAGAUAUUAGAAAGAACACCAAUUGCGAAGGCAACUUUCUGGAUCAUUACUGACACUGAGGAGCGAAAGCAUGGGUAGCGAAGAGGAUUAGAUACCCUCGUAGUCCAUGCUGUAAACGAUGUGUGCUAGACGUUGGAAAUUUAAUUUUCAGUGUCGCAGCAAAAGCGUUAAGCACACCGCCUGGGGAGUACGACCGCAAGGUUAAAACUCAAAUGAAUUGACGGGGACCCGCACAAGUAGUGGAG